rnacentral:lncRNA from 1 species
AGCAAAACAAGCUAUCGAUCAGGGGAGAUCUCCAGUUAUCAUAGACAACACUAAUACACAAGCCUGGGAAAUGAAACCCUAUGUGGAAAUGGAGGAAUAAACAUGGCGUGUCUCGAAAGAAGAUUGCUCAGAUGUUAGACCGUUAUGAAUUUCAAAUGUCCAUCUCCAUCGUGAUGAAUUCAGUGGAACCAACACAGAAAAGCACACAAACACCCCUUCCUCUCCAGGGGGACCAGAGGUGGGGAGGCUCUCUAGGCUCACAUAGUCAAGUAUCUAU